rnacentral:misc_RNA from 1 species
GAUGAAGAACGUAGCGAAAUGCGAUAAGUAAUGUGAAUUGCAGAAUUCAGUGAAUCAUCGAAUCUUUGAACGCACAUUGCGCCCGGCAGUACUCUGCCGGGCAUGCCUGUUCGAGCGUCAUUUCAACCCUCAAGCCCUGCUUGGUGUUGGGGUCCCACGGCCGCCGUGGGCCCUGAAAGGAAGUGGCGGGCUCGCUACAACUCCGAGCGUAGUAAUUCAUUAUCUCGCUUAGGGCGUUGGGCGGCGCUCCUGCCGUUAAAGAACCAUCUUUAACUCAAGGUUGACCUCGGAUCAGGUAGGAAUACACGCUGAACUUAAGCAUAUCAAUAAGCGGAGGA